rnacentral:tRNA from 1 species
GGUGAUCUAGCUUAGUGGUAGAGCGCUUUUCUAGUAUGCAAGGGGCCCUAGGUUCAAUCCCAAGCACCACCC